UACGAAGGGUGCUAGCGUUGUUCGGAAUCACUGGGCGUAAAGCGCGCGCAGGCGGCUACUCAAGUCAGGGGUGAAAUCCUUGGGCUUAACCCAAGAAUUGCCUUUGAAACUGUGUAGCUGGAGUGUCGGAGGGGAUAGCGGAAUUCCUAAUGUAGCGGUGAAAUGCGUAGAUAUUAGGAGGAACACCGGUGGCGAAGGCGGCUAUCUGGACGACAACUGACGCUGAGGCGCGAAAGCGUGGGGAGCGAACAGG
rnacentral:rRNA from 1 species